rnacentral:rRNA from 1 species
CCUACGGGCGGCAGCAGUGAGGAAUAUUGGUCAAUGGGCGCGAGCCUGAACCAGCCAAGUCGCGUGAGGGAGGACGGCCCUACGGGUUGUAAACCUCUUUUGCCGGGGAGCAACGGGCGUCACGUGUGGCGCCACUGAGAGUACCCGGAGAAAAAGCAUCGGCAAACUCCGUGCCAGCAGCCGCGGUAAUACGGAGGAUGCGAGCGUUAUCCGGAUUUAUUUGGUUUAAAGGGUGCGCAGGCGGAAGAUCAAGUCAGCGGUAAAAUUGAGAGGCUCAACCUCUUCGAGCCGUUGAAACUGGUUGUCUUGAGUGAGCGAGAAGUAUGCGGAAUGCGUGGUGUAGCGGUGAAAUGCAUAGAUAUCACGCAGAACUCCGAUUGCGAAGGCAGCAUACCGGCGCUCAACUGACGCUCAUGCACGAAAGUGUGGGUAUCGAACAGGAUUAGAUACCCGGGUAGUC